AAUCAAACAUUUCUUACUACAGUUGCAGAUAUUUUGCUAUGGAGAGAGGGGAAGAAAACAUUUACUUGUUUUCUCUUGCUAGUUCUGCUUUAUCAUAUGCUACCACCAAAUAUGUAAGCAUGAACAUUGUAGUUUUCUUUGGUGGAUGAUGCUAUUAGCUCUUUAUAUAGAUAGAAUUUCAUUGCUUGUAUACCUCUUUUUUAGAAUUGUCCACUAGUAUCUUCUUGAGCAUUUUGCUAAUAUACUUCUGGUUAGCUCAAUAUACCUUGAAUUUAUAAAUGCACGAAUUCAUUCAACUUAAGCAAAUAAUAAAGUUUGUUUCAUUUGGAGUUAUCGAGCAUCUCUAGCAAUUUCAUAAAAUGGCUUGAAUUUGAUGAAGGAUAAGGCGACGAUUUCAACAAACGGAUCCAUUUUGCAAAAGUAAAACGGUAAUGAAAUAGCCUUUGUCCGUUUAAAUUGUAUAAAAUAAUAGAAUAAGAUGUAAUCUCUGUAGUUUGAUGUGCAUCAAACUAACAUUAUACUUUUUGCUCAAAUAUUUUGACCCCAAAUGUCUUAAGUUGAAAACUUUUGUUGAACUCUUAAUAGGUUCUAAAUUCAUGUGCCAAAAGGAAGGAUUUCAAGACACUGAGCUCUUUUAACUAAAGAAGAUUGCUAACAUAUUUGACGGACAUUGUGAAAGAAAAAUCCAGUAAGCUUCUUCACUUGUUUUUUUUUUUUCCCCCCCUCUUAUGAGAAUGACUGUUGAGAUAAUUAAUCUGAUAGUAUGGCUUCAUGCUUGGAAACUAAUAGUUGUAUAUAUAAAUGUUUUUUUUCCCUGUAGGUGCUUCAGAUAUUGAAAUAAGAAUUUCCAAAUAAAUUGCAAAGUUAAGUGGUUUGAGUCCUAAAAUGCCUUCAUUGAUGGAAAAUGGUUGUGCUGCUAAACUUGAGUGUAUUGGAGCAUGGACUAAUCCUGCAGAUAGUUUUGAGUCGACUUUGAUAAUGAUGAAUUGAAUAGUAGUGUGCUCUCCAUGUUCUAGAGGAUGGAUAUGCAAUAGCAGCUCAUACAGGCUUGGGGAAGAAGGAAGAACUUUCUUGGGAAGAGCUUGGGGCGAUUAUUCACGAGUUAUAUAUUCGUAUUGUGAAUUUGAUGCCAUUGUAAGACCAGAAGGAUGGAAUGACUGGAGGAAACAACUAAAUGAACUGUUUUUUUUUUUUUUUUAAAGAAAUUUGACAUUUACGGCGUGCGCAGGAUGGAAUGACUGGAGGAAACAACUAAAUGAACAGUUUUUUUUUUUUUAAAAGAAAUUUGACAUUUACAGCGUGCAUGCGCACGCUGUAUGAAGUCGAUAUUCUUGCAUUUACGGCGUGCAAAUGCACGCCAUAAAUAAUCAGUACUGUUAUUUAUGGCAUGCACAUGCACGCCAUAAAUAGUGAAUACUUUUACAAUGUGCAUUUCCACGCCGUAAAUAGUUCUUAAUGGCAUGCAUUUACGACGUGCUUUGCACGCCAUAAAAACCUUUACCUAUUUACGACAUUAAUUUAUACGGCAUGCAGCUGUACGCCGUAAAAGGUCCAUUUUGUUGUAGUGCAUGUAUUAUGAUUUAUAAAAUUUUAGUGAGUGGCGUG
rnacentral:lncRNA from 1 species